AUAGGAUCUCUACUUACGAGUGGUGGUCGGAGGCAUUGCAUGAUGGAUGGGUUUCAUUAAAUAUUUUGCGAUCUUACAAAGAAGAAGACUCAAUGGGGUGAAACAUAAUUCUGAAUAUGUAGACGACUCCUAGGAUGUGAUUCAAAACGUCUCUCCAAAAAAAGCCCUAAUUUCUGACCUGCCACCUCCUCCAUCCCUCACCGGUGCCUUCACGUGUACAUAGGCCCAUCACUCGCGUACAACUAUAAAUAUAUGAGAUAUAUGGUUUCUCUUUGGCUUUCAUCGUCUCAAUGAUUCACCAGAUAGCGAGCCACUUAUGAACAAAAGGAUUCAUGAAGCAAUCAGAAUUUUAAUCAGAGAUAUGGUGAAGUUUAGUAAAAGCCAACUUAAUUUUGAUCCUUCAAAAUGUGUUCGACCUCAAGAAGUUUAACGGUAAAGCUCACACGAUAUAUGAUAAUAAGAACUCACGCAAAAGUAGAUCUAAAAUCCCAGAAAUAUCAAUCCAACUACACUCCCUCACAACUCACAAGGAUCUAAGAGUUCGUAGUACGACUGAUGAAAUCCGAUCACCAGUGACUCUAUAACAAUUCUUUCUCUUACUCGAAACCUAGAUCUCGCCUCCUACCUUACUACAUCUCUAUGGUGACGACGACUCAACCGAAACUCCACCACCUCUAACGGAAGUAUGACUACUAUAUCUCAUCAUUAUUUCGAUGAUUCAAAUGGAUGUGAUGAUAUUGUCUCCAUCACAAUCAUCAAGGUUUUCCCUCUUCAAGAAUUUCCCAUCUCCUUUUUUUCUUCAUUUAGAUGCUUAUGAAUCUCCACUGCGGCCUUUUCUUUAGGGAUGUUGUAAUAAUUAUCCUUCUGGCCUCUGUUGCUGCUCUAUCGCACAGGUUGUAGGCAUUAGGUUAUUGUGGGAAAAUAUUAUACAGUCAAUCACAAAAGUGAGGUCAGGGGAUAAGGGACUUGGUUACAUCCUUGCACAUACCAUGGGGCUAGGUAAAACCCUCAACUAUUUAUUUAUUUAUUUUUCCAGAAAAACACUCACAUUUGACUAGUUCUUCAGAAAAACACUGCUAAAUGGCCAAAAUCGAAAAAAAUACAAGGUCUUUUUUCGGAAAAAAUAACUGGAGGUUUCAUCCAGAAAAAAUAUACAAGAUCUUUUAUGAAGUUAACAUCUUUUAUGAUGUUAACCUAAACAUAAGUACCAGUGAAACCUUAUAUAACACGUCAAAUUGGUUAAUUUGGAAGAAAAAGAAGUGAAAAACUUCCAAAAUAUGUUUUUUACGUUUUUUUCUUGUAAAUUGCCCAUUUUACCCCUUGAGUUACAGAAUUAACCAUUUUAGUUACUGAUAGGUAAUUCCUCCUGGAAUGGAGUUUAAUUGUAUUGUUCUGCAUGAUGUGGAUGGUGAAAAUGAAGGAUCAGAAGAUCAUUAAACUUCUCCAGAUCCACCUAUUUGGACAAAGCUUUGAAUUCUUUACCAAAUGAUAUAUCACUGAACAUUGUUUUCUUAUUAAUAAAAAAAUCAACGAAAGUACAUUGCCAUUCCAUACAAAUAAUGCGGUUCUUCACCAACCCACGCAAGCUCAAGAUUCUUGCACUUGCUAGACCAGAUCCCAAAAAGAACCUUACAACGUUGGUCAAUGCAUUUGGGAUGUGUCGCCCAUUAAGGGAGCUUACUAAUCUUGUAUGUUUCCAUGUUUACCCUUUUCUGAUUGGAUCUUUUUAGUGAUUAUUUAAUACUUUUUACUUUUUUUUUGUGUGCAUACAUUAAUUAUGGGUAACAAAGAUAACAUUGAUGAGAUGUCAAGCACAAGUGCUUCAAUGCUUCUUUCAAUUAUUAAAAUGAUUGAUAAAUAUGAUCUUUAUGGUCAAGUCGCCUAACCUAAACAUCAUAAAUAGAGUGAUGUCCCUGAUAUAUACUGAUUAGCAGCAAAAACCAAGGUAUGACAGAGGGCAUUUUCAUCUUUACACAAACAGAAUGUAACAUGAACCAUGUUUUAACUAUGUUUUUUGUUUUCGCGGGGUGUUUUCAUCAAUCCAAGUUUCAUUGAAUCAUUUGGACUCACUUUAAUCGAGUUAACUCUUCACAGUUUCACCAUUUUUUAUUUUUUUACCAACUUAUUUAUUUAUCUUUAUAAAACAGGUUGUUGCUCAUGGUUUACCAAUGUUCUACUAGGGAUGGCACAGGGGUGCACAAUAGCAUUGUGAAUCGGCUUCCUACAAAGAUAGAUAGUGUGGGAGCACUGAACAAUUGGUUGCUCAUUGGUAUGACAAACAAAAAUGAUCUGCUUGAUGAAGCUCUUUUGAGGCCUGGUCGUUUAGAAGUCCAAGUGGAAAUCAGCCUUCCAGAUGAAAAUGUUCGUCUCCAAAUUCUUCAAAUUCAUACAAACAAGAUGAAAGAGAAUUCUUUCCUAGCUCCAGAUGUCGACUUACAAGAACUUGUCAUACAAAGCCAGGUUCACUAAUACAAAGAAAGCUGGAUGUUGCUGCUGCAACUGAAAUGGUUUUGACAACAAAAUUCAGAAUAUUUAUCUAUCACACGACCUACAGCUUUCUCUCUUUUCUAACACCCUCUCAAACUCAAGAGGGUAUGUUUGUGCUUGUAUGUUGUAAUUAAAUGUGUGAUUUGGAAAUGUGACAUAAUAUUUAUCUAUCACAUGACCUACAAGUUGCAUUUGUCAGAUUGGGAGGGGUAUUUUUGUAAUUAUUUUAUGGUGUUGAUUCAAAGUAACGGACAUAAGUAUGUCAUUCCCACAACCUUAUACCCUGAAUAAAUAGAAUUAUUAUAUAAGACAUGAAUAAAAAAUAGCAAGCAUUUUAGAACACCUAUUUGAAUAAUUUGCAUCUUGGACAUAUGUAUUUACACUUUGUAUUAAGAUUUAAGAACAAU